rnacentral:rRNA from 1 species
CCCUUAGAUGUUCUGGGCCGCACGCGUGCUACACUGACCGGCGCAACAAGUUUCUUUCCUUGGCUCGAUAGGCCUGGGUAAUCUUUGAACGCCGGUCGUGAUGGGGAUAGAUCCUUGCAAUUUUUGAUCUUCAACGAGGAAUUCCUAGUAAAUGCGAGUCAUCAUCUCGCGUUGAUUACGUCCCUGCCCUUUGUACACACCGCCCGUCGCACCUACCGAUUGAAUGGUCCGGUGAAGCCUCGGGAUUGCGAAUGCUUCGUGCGGACGCGAGAACUUGGCUAAACCUUACCAUUUAGAGGAAGGCGAAGUCGUAACA